UACAGAGGGUGCAAGCGUUAAUCGGAUUUACUGGGCGUAAAGCGCGCGUAGGCGGCUAAUUAAGUCAAAUGUGAAAUCCCCGAGCUUAACUUGGGAAUUGCAUUCGAUACUGGUUAGCUAGAGUGUGGGAGAGGAUGGUAGAAUUCCAGGUGUAGCGGUGAAAUGCGUAGAGAUCUGGAGGAAUACCGAUGGCGAAGGCAGCCAUCUGGCCUAACACUGACGCUGAGGUGCGAAGCAUGGGAGCAAACAGG
rnacentral:rRNA from 1 species